UGGGGGAUAUUGCACAAUGGGGGGAACCCUGAUGCAGCGACGCCGCGUGAGGGAAGACGGUUUUCGGAUUGUAAACCUCUGUCUUUAGGGACGAAACAAAUGACGGUACCUAAAGAGGAAGCCACGGCUAACUACGUGCCAGCAGCCGCGGUAAUACGUAGGUGGCAAGCGUUGUCCGGAAUUACUGGGUGUAAAGGGAGCGUAGGCGGGAAUGCAAGUUGAAUGUUUAAACUAUGGGCUCAACCCAUAGUCGCGUUCAAAACUGCAUUUCUUGAGUGGAGUAGAGGCAGGCGGAAUUCCUAGUGUAGCGGUGAAAUGCGUAGAUAUUAGGAGGAACACCAGUGGCGAAGGCGGCCUGCUGGGCUCUAACUGACGCUGAGGCUCGAAAGCGUGGGUAGCAAACAGG
rnacentral:rRNA from 1 species